rnacentral:lncRNA from 1 species
GGCGGCGGAUCAGGAGGAAGAGAUGGCCUGCAUGUCCAUGAUUGAGUGCCUAGUCUCGCGGUCACGAUGGAGGCGCACGAUUGCAGGAGGCGGCGAGGUUUCUCGCGAGGGCGUUUGCGGUGUAGAUUAUGUAGUUGCUGAUUUGUCGCACGCUUCCAAAUUUGUCAAAGGGUUAGUUGUUUCCUUUUGGAGCCAUGACUUCCGUGCGAGUGCGUGAUUUGUUUUCCUUUUGAGCCAUACGCGGGAUCGCAAGGGGAGAUGACACCGAGGUUACACCAAACCAAAGUUGCACGAAAAAAAUGUCUUCCUUUUAUUCUUUUUAGUUGUAGGAGAUAGGAGAUACAUACCUCUCUUGCACUUUGAAGCUUUUCGAGGAUAAUGAGAUGCUCUAUAUUUUUCUUUUUCUUUUCUCUCAGGUGGGUAUCUUGUACCCCUAAUUCUACUAUCGGACACUUGUCCAUUUUUACCUCUCAUCUCACUUUUUCUUUUCUUCGAGGUUCCGGGCACUUGCCCCUUUUUAUUUCCUCGUAUCCUCUUUUUUUAGAGCACUCAUCUCCUGAAAUAAUAUAGCAAGUGGUAGUAACCAAGAUAACUCAAGCAUUUAUUUCACAGGGAAAAAUAGAAAUAGGAGAAUGUUUUUGGCUAUUCUCUCCCAGAUUAGGAGAAGAAUACUUUUAGGUGAAUCUGGAGAUGGAAUUGAGUGGAUGUAGGUGGAUGCGUACUUCCGGAGUAGAAGUAGCAUGUUUGAGUGAACGUGCAAGUG